rnacentral:rRNA from 1 species
CCUACGGGAGGCAGCAGUGAGGAAUAUUGGUCAAUGGACGAGAGUCUGAACCAGGCAAGUAGCGAGAAGGAUGACUGCCCUAUGGGUUGUAAACUUCUUUUAUAUGGGAAUAAAAUGUUCCACGUGUGGGAUUUUGUAUGUACCAUAUGAAUAAGGAUCGGCUAACUCCGUGCCAGCAGCCGCGGUAAUACGGAGGAUCCGAGCGUUAUCCGGAUUUAUUGGGUUUAAAGGGAGCGUAGGUGGAUUGUUAAGUCAGUUGUGAAAGUUUGCGGCUCAACCGUAAAAUUGCAGUUGAAACUGGCAGUCUUGAGUACAGUAGAGGUGGGCGGAAUUCGUGGUGUAGCGGUGAAAUGCUUAGAUAUCACGAAGAACUCCGAUUGCGAAGGCAGUUCACUGGACUGCAACUGACACUGAGGCUCGAAAGUGUGGGUAUCAAACAGGAUUAGAUACCCUAGUAGUC